rnacentral:rRNA from 1 species
GACGAAGGAUGCAAGCGUUAUCCGGAUUCAUUGGGUUUAAAGGGAGUGUAGGCGGCCCUAUAAGUCAGUGGUGAAAUCUCUCGGCUUAACCGAGAAAUUGCCAUUGAUACUGUAGGGCUUGAGUACAGUUGCCGUUGGCGGAAUAUGACAUGUAGUGGUGAAAUACAUAGAGAUGUCAUAGAACACCGAUUGCGAAGGCAGCUAACGAAACUGUAACUGACGCUGAGGCUCGAAAGUGCGGGGAUCAAACAGG